rnacentral:rRNA from 1 species
GAUGAACGCUGGCGGCGUGCUUAAUACAUGCAAGUCGAACGAAGAGCCUUUGUAGCAAUACGGAGGUUUCUUAGUGGCGAGCGGGUGCGUAACGCGUUGGUGACCUGCCCCAAAGUGUGGGAUAACAGUUCGAAAGGACUGCUAAUACCGCAUGUGGUCUUCGGGAUUAGAAGCCGAUGACUAAAGCAGUAAUGCGCUUUGGGAGGGACCUGCGUCCCAUCAGCUAGUUGGUGAGGUAACGGCCCACCAAGGCUUCGACGGGUAGGGGACCGGAGAGGGUGGUCCCCCACACUGGCACUGAAACACGGGCCAGACACCUACGGGUGGCAGCAGUAGGGAAUAUUGGGCAAUGGGCGAAAGCCUGACCCAGCAACGCCGCGUGCACGAUGAAGGUCUUCGGAUCGUAAAGUGCUUUUCUGAGAGAUGAGAAAGGACAGUAUCUCAGGAAUAAGUCUCGGCUAACUACGUGCCAGCAGCCGCGGUAACAC